rnacentral:rRNA from 1 species
AUUGAACGCUGGCGGCAUGCCUUACACAUGCAAGUCGAACGGCAGCACGGGGCAACCUGGUGGCGAGUGGCGAACGGGUGAGUAAUGCAUCGGAACGUACCUUUCAGUGGGGGAUAACGUAGCGAAAGUUACGCUAAUACCGCAUAUUCUGUGAGCAGGAAAGCAGGGGAUCGCAAGACCUUGCGCUGAUUGAGCGGCCGAUGUCAGAUUAGCUAGUUGGUGAGGUAAAGGCUAACCAAGGCGACGAUCUGUGGCGGGUCUGGGAGGAUGAUCCGCCACACUGGAACUGAGACACGGUCCAGACUCCUACGGGAGGCAGCAGUGGGGAAUUUUGGACAAUGGGGGCAACCCUGAUCCAGCCAUGCCGCGUGAGUGAAGAAGGCCUUCGGGUUGUAAAGCUCUUUCGGCCGGGAAGAAAUCGCACGGGCUAAUACCCUGUGUGGAUGACGGUACCGGAAUAAGAAGCACCGGCUAACUACGUGCCAGCAGCCGCCGUAAAAC